AAAUGCUCCCAGUCCGGAAAAAAAUAACUAGCGAUCAAGGCAGCAGUUGACAGCGGAUAAGUCAAGAUGAAUGCGGUUCUUUUAGUUUAUUUUAUUUUUUCGUAAAACCGUCUUGGCAGUGGUCCAGAGAGUCCCUUGGAUUUUUUUGUGAGGACCCGCUAGCGGUCAGAAAACAGGGCCUUAAUCUCGUAGGACACCUGCCAUCCUCGCUUAUGUUUCCACGAGGCACAACUAAGGAGUAAGCGGAUGGAGCAGGGUGUCUAAUUGAGUGUGAGUGUUUGUUAAUUAGCCCUACGACCGGACCAAUGGCUGCUUCCUGUGUGAUUAAUGAUUACACCAAUCACGGCGAGAUGGCGGCGGCCGCGGAACGUUUCAAAUGUUUUGGCCGCCUCGAUGUCUCGGACACCCACUUGAAAUGUCGACCUCGAAAACCGUUUGGCCACCGGUGAGCAUUCCACGAGAUCCCUCCUCCACCUCCUCUCAUCCUCUGGUGUAAAGCAUGGAGGACAUGGACUUCGAGAGGCGCCGGGAGCUCAGACGGCAGAAGCGUGAGGAGAUGCGCCUGGAAGCUGAACGAUAGGGCCUGUCUGUCUGUCUGUCUGUCUGUCUGUCUGUCUGUCUGUCUGUCUGUCUGUCUGUCUGUCUGUCUGUCUGUC
ensembl:lncRNA